rnacentral:rRNA from 1 species
UACGGAGGGGGUUAGCGUUGUUCGGAAUUACUGGGCGUAAAGCGUACGUAGGCGGAUUAAUAAGUUAGAGGUGAAAUCCCAGGGCUCAACCCUGGAACUGCCUUUAAAACUGUUAGUCUUGAGAUCGAGAGAGGUGAGUGGAAUUCCAAGUGUAGAGGUGAAAUUCGUAGAUAUUUGGAGGAACACCAGUGGCGAAGGCGGCUCACUGGCUCGAUACUGACGCUGAGGUACGAAAGCGUGGGGAGCGAAC